CCGCAGGUUGUUUUGCCUUCCAUUCACGCUGUUUAGCUGCUUUAGUUUCACUUAUCACUUGCACAUCUUGUGAAAGAACAGAUGAAGAAGCAACCUGCGAGGGUGUAGCUAUAGACGAAGUAGCCUGAGAGGACGGAACCACAGAGGAGGUUGCCUCAGAGGAUGGAACUGUAGAGGCAACCUUGGAGGAUGGAACCAUAGGAGAGGCAGUUUGCAAUGCCUGAGAUGAAAUAACUGUGGAGGAAGCAGUUGGCAGAAGUUGACCAGGAGUUACCAAUGUAACUUGCUCUGCAACAUUGACUGGCGAUGCAUCAUUAGCAGAAGGUGACUGAGAGGAA
rnacentral:lncRNA from 1 species